GCAAGUCGAGGGGAACCGACAUCGAAAGCUUGCUUUUGAUGGGCGUCGACCGGCGCACGGGUGAGUAACGCGUAUCCAACCUGCCCACCACUUGGGGAUAACCUUGCGAAAGUAAGACUAAUACCCAAUGACGUCUCUAGAAGACAUCUGAAAGAGAUUAAAGAUUUAUCGGUGAUGGAUGGGGAUGCGUCUGAUUAGCUUGUUGGCGGGGUAACGGCCCACCAAGGCAACGAUCAGUAGGGGUUCUGAGAGGAAGGUCCCCCACAUUGGAACUGAGACACGGUCCAAACUCCUACGGGAGGCAGCAGUGAGGAAUAUUGGUCAAUGGACGAGAGUCUGAACCAGCCAAGUAGCGUGCAGGAUGACGGCCCUAUGGGUUGUAAACUGCUUUUAUAAGGGAAUAAAGUGAGUCUCGUGAGACUUUUUGCAUGUACCUUAUGAAUAAGGACCGGCUAAUUCCGUGCCAGCAGCCGCGGUAAUACGGAAGGUCCGGGCGUUAUCCGGAUUUAUUGGGUUUAAAGG
rnacentral:rRNA from 1 species